AUUGGACGCUGGCGGCAGGCUUAACACAUGCAAGUCGAGCGGGGUGAUGGUGCUUGCACUAUCACUUAGCGGCGGACGGGUGAGUAGUGCUUAGGAAUCUGCCUAUUAGUGGGGGACAACACCUCGAAAGGGAUGCUAAUACCGCAUCCGUCCUACGGGAGAAAGCAGGGGAUCACUUGUGACCUUGCGCUAAUAGAUGAGCCUAAGUCGGAUUAGCUAGUUGGUGGGGUAAAGGCCUACCAAGGCGACGAUCUGUAGCGGGUCUGAGAGGAUGAUCCGCCACACUGGGACUGAGACACGGCCCAGACUCCUACGGGAGGCAGCAGUGGGGAAUAUUGGACAAUGGGGGGAACCCUGAUCCAGCCAUGCCGCGUGUGUGAAGAAGGCCUUAUGGUUGUAAAGCACUUUAAGCGAGGAGGAGGCUCUUUUGGUUAAUACCCAAGAUGAGUGGACGUUACCCGCAGAAUAAGCACCGGCUGACUCUGUGCCAGCCGCCGCGGUAA
rnacentral:rRNA from 1 species